rnacentral:tRNA from 1 species
GUUUUAAUAGUUUAAUAAAAACAUUGGUCUUGUAAAUCAAAAUUAAGAACUUAUUCUUUUAAAACU